UCAUGACGGGCCUAAUGCAAGUUUUGUA
rnacentral:sRNA from 1 species